rnacentral:rRNA from 1 species
AACACAGGGAUGCCUAGUAACGGCGAGUGAAGCGGCAACAGCUCAAAUUUGAAAUCUGGCUUCGGCCCGAGUUGUAAUUUGCAGAGGAUGUUUUUGGCGCGGUGCCUUCCGAGUUCCCUGGAACGGGACGCCACAGAGGGUGAGAGCCCCGUCUGGUUGGACACCAAGCCUGUGUAAAACUCCUUCAACGAGUCGAGUAGUUUGGGAAUGCUGCUCUAAAUGGGAGGUAAAUCUCUUCUAAAGCUAAAUACCGGCCAGAGACCGAUAGCGCACAAGUAGAGUGAUCGAAAGAUGAAAAGCACCUUGAAAAGGGGGUUAAACAGUACGUGAAAUUGUUGAAAGGGAAGCGUUUAUGACCAGACUUGUGCCGUGUGGCUCAUCCGGGGUUCUCCCCGGUGCACUCCACACGGUUCAGGCCAGCAUCGAUUCUCGCUGGGGGAUAAGAACGGUAGGAACGUGGCCCUCUUCGGAGGGUGUUAUAGCCUAUCGUACGAUACCCUGGCGGGGAUCGAGGACCGCGCUUCGUGCUAGGAUGCUGGCGUAAUGGUCAUUAGCGACCCGUCUUGAAACACGGACCAAGGAGUCGUCCAUUAGAGCGAGCGUUUGGGUGUAAAACCCGCACGCGUAAUGAAAGUGAAAUUAGGUGAGAGCUUCGGCGCAUCAUCGACCGAUCCUGAAGUUUACGGAUGGAUUUGAGUAAGAGUUUUAACGGACGGACCCGAAAGACAGUGAACUAUGCUUGAAUAGGGUGAAGCCAGAGGAAACUCUGGUGGAGGCUCGCAGCGGUUCUGACGUGC